AUCUGAACUGAUCAUCAUCUUGAGAAUUUUCUGAUGCAUCUUGGCUUUAAUGAAAAUAGAAAUGAAAGAAAAUCAUUAGGACUACCUGAUAUCUCAGGCUCAGUCACAUUCACUUCUAUAUAUGAGUUCAUGCAGCCUGGAAGAACUGGUAAAGUUUAUUUAAAUGCACAAGAGCUUGCUGUCGAGAUGAGCGCCUCACAGGAGUCGCCAUUCCAGCCUGAAAUACAGAAGCUGCUACUUCACAGAGGACACAGAGUCAUUAAGGUUGGAAGAGACUUUCAGGAUCAGCUGCUCCAGUCAUUGCCUACCACAGUGUCACCACUGAGCCAUGUCCCCAGUCACCACAUCCAGCCUUUCCUUCAACACCCCAGGGACGGUGACA